GAAAAAAGGUUCCAUCAACGGGCGUCGAACCCACGACCGCUCCGUCCGCAGCAACAGAUGCCGGGCACGCUAUCCACUGCGCCACAGGAGUGUUUUGCUGCGCUCGAGGUACCAGAAAGCUCAAAUAAAGACUCGCAACGUUGUUGAAAGGGCUUUUGAAGUGUGGGGAAGGCGUUUUCCCUGCCUGGACAUGGAGAUGCAGCACGAGGCGAAAAAUAUUGUGCUCAUUGUUACAGCUUGUGCGGCACUGCACAAUUUGGCUUGUUUCUUAAAGGAACCGCAGCCUCCAGCUCAAAGGGUCCCACAACCUUCCUCCAACGUUACAGCGGCAAACCGAGCAGUGCACCUGCCACCUGUUGAUCGCCUCAACGACAGCUAUUCAGGAAUGCAAGCACGGGACCUGCUCAUCCGAAAGUGCUUCACUUAGGAUCUCGUCCUCAUGGUCCGCCUGCAGUAUCCGGACGCGGAUUCUGUGCUCUUCUCGAAGCAGCUCGGCGCGAACUUCAUUUUCAGCGUCUUCUCCAAGACGGCCAUCCGACCACUUGCAUGGUCGAGCAGCGACAGUUGCCGCAGAACUAUUUGUGGUGUUUUCUUCAGCCUCUGGCUGCGCUACGGAAGGCGGUCCAGUCUCGGCAUUGGCACCUGUGCCUGUUGGUGGCUGGAACGGAUCUGCAAGGCUGCCAGCAUCCCACUUUUCAUCUGCAAUAAACAAAA
rnacentral:lncRNA from 1 species